rnacentral:rRNA from 1 species
AACGCUAGCUACAGGCUUAACACAUGCAAGUCGAGGGGCAGCAUUUCAGUUUGCUUGCAAACUGGAGAUGGCGACCGGCGCACGGGUGAGUAACACGUAUCCAACCUGCCGAUAACUCGGGGAUAGCCUUUCGAAAGAAAGAUUAAUACCCGAUGGUAUAAUCAGACCGCAUGGUCUUGUUAUUAAAGAAUUUCGGUUAUCGAUGGGGAUGCGUUCCAUUAGGCAGUUGGUGAGGUAACGGCUCACCAAACCUUCGAUGGAUAGGGGUUCUGAGAGGAAGGUCCCCCACAUUGGAACUGAGACACGGUCCAAACUCCUACGGGAGGCAGCAGUGAGGAAUAUUGGUCAAUGGGCGCAGGCCUGAACCAGCCAAGUAGCGUGAAGGAUGACUGCCCUAUGGGUUGUAAACUUCUUUUAUAUGGGAAUAAAGUUUUCCACGUGUGGAAUUUUGUAUGUACCAUAUGAAUAAGGAUCGGCUAACUCCGUGCCAGCAGCCGCGGUAAUACGGAGGAUCCGAGCGUUAUCCGGAUUUAUUGGGUUUAAAGGGAGCGUAGGUGGACAGUUAAGUCAGUUGUGAAAGUUUGCGGCUCAACCGUAAAAUUGCAGUUGAUACUGGCUGUCUUGAGUACAGUAGAGGUGGGCGGAAUUCGUGGUGUAGCGGUGAAAUGCUUAGAUAUCACGAAGAACUCCGAUUGCGAAGGCAGCUCACUGGACUGCAACUGACACUGAUGCUCGAAAGUGUGGGUAUCAAACAGGAUUAGAUACCCUGGUAGUCCACACAGUAAACGAUGAAUACUCGCUGUUUGCGAUAUACAGUAAGCGGCCAAGCGAAAGCAUUAAGUAUUCCACCUGGGGAGUACGCCGGCAACGGUGAAACUCAAAGGAAUUGACGGGGGCCCGCACAAGCGGAGGAACAUGUGGUUUAAUUCGAUGAUACGCGAGGAACCUUACCCGGGCUUAAAUUGCAUUUGAAUAUAUUGGAAACAGUAUAGCCGUAAGGCAAAUGUGAAGGUGCUGCAUGGUUGUCGUCAGCUCGUGCCGUGAGGUGUCGGCUUAAGUGCCAUAACGAGCGCAACCCUUAUCUUUAGUUACUAACAGGUCAUGCUGAGGACUCUAGAGAGACUGCCGUCGUAAGAUGUGAGGAAGGUGGGGAUGACGUCAAAUCAGCACGGCCCUUACGUCCGGGGCUACACACGUGUUACAAUGGGGGGUACAGAAGGCAGCUACCUGGUGACAGGAUGCUAAUCCCAAAAGCCUCUCUCAGUUCGGAUCGAAGUCUGCAACCCGACUUCGUGAAGCUGGAUUCGCUAGUAAUCGCGCAUCAGCCAUGGCGCGGUGAAUACGUUCCCGGGCCUUGUACACACCGCCCGUCAAGCCAUGAAAGCCGGGGGUACCUGAAGUACGUAACCGCAAGGAGCGUCCUAGGGUAAAACUGGUAAUUGGGGCUAAGUCGUAACAAG